rnacentral:rRNA from 1 species
GACGAACGCUGGCGGCGUGCUUAACACAUGCAAGUCGAACGGUAAGGCUCCAGCUUGCUGGGGUACACGAGUGGCGAACGGGUGAGUAACACGUGGGUGACCUGCCCUGCACUUCGGGAUAAGCCUGGGAAACUGGGUCUAAUACCGGAUAGGACCGCACCGUGAGGGCGUGGGGGAAAGGUUUUUCGGUGUGGGGUGGGCCCGCGGCCUGUCAGCUUGGUGGUGGGGGAAUGGCCCACCAAGGCGGCGACGGGGUGCCGGCCUGGGGGGGGGGCCGGCCACAUUGGGACUGAGACCCGGCCCAGACUCCUACGGGAGGCAGCAGUGGGGAAUAUUGCACAAUGGGCCGAAGCCUGAUGUAGCGACGCCGCGUGGGGGAUGACGGCCUUCGGGUUGUAAACUCCUUUCCCCAUCGCCGAAGGGUUUCUGACGGUAGCUGGAGAAGAAGCACCGGCUAACUACGUG